UGGCAAAACGAGGGCUUAACUGUCUCCUUCCCNCAGUCAAUGAAAUUGAUCUCCCCGGGCAGAAGCGGGGAUACUAACAUAAGACGAGAAGACCCUAUGGAGCUUUAGACACAAGAACAGAUCAUGUUUAACCCCUUAAACAACCAGGGAAAAAUAAAUUGAACCCUGAUCCUAUGUCUUUGGUUGGGGCGACCACGGGGAACCAAAAAACCCCCGAGUGGAAUGAGAACACAUUCUUAAAACCAAGAGCCACAGCUCUAAGAAUCAGAAUAUCUGACCUUAAAGAUCCGGAUAGCCGAUCAACGAACUGAGUUACCCUAGGGAUAACAGCGCAAUCCCCUUUUAGAGCCCAUAUCGACAAGGGGGUUUACGACCUCGAUGUUGAUCAGGACAUCCUAAUGGUGUAGCCGCUAUUAGGGUUCGUUUGUUCAACGAUUAA
rnacentral:rRNA from 1 species